UCUUAUCAACGCGUGGAGGCGGGCAUCUUAUCGCCCUAAGAAGUCAGAUGGUUUUAUAAACCAUCUAGACGAUGGGCCGAUUGUUCACCGUCGUACUCUAUGUGAUAUCACAAAUGUUCAACAACCUUCAUAUGUGAUCCCUGGUACUUAUUUGGGAGAUUUACAAUGUCGUUAAUUAUAUGUGCGUAUUUGACAAUCAUACUAUUUGUGAUUAUGUUUAACUUCUCUUUGCUUUCUGAACGCCCGUGGUGGAUAACUAUAGGAACUAAUGUUGGGGCGGAUCAUAUGUUGGGGCAGCUAAUCAAACCCACGCGAGAUGAUAAGCACAGGAAAGUUGAUCUUCGUCCCCUUUGUAAUUCAAAUGACCCAGCUAGCUCGGUUGAUACAUCAAUCUCGCAUAAUGAAUCAACAUAUCCUCCUAAAGCUACGGGAGCGUCUGAUGUAAUUGCAGAU